UACGUAGGGUGCGAGCGUUGUCCGGAAUUAUUGGGCGUAAAGGGCUCGUAGGCGGUCUGUCGCGUCGGGAGUGAAAACUCAGGGCUUAACCCUGAGCCUGCUUCCGAUACGGGCAGACUAGAGGUAUGCAGGGGAGAACGGAAUUCCUGGUGUAGCGGUGAAAUGCGCAGAUAUCAGGAGGAACACCGAUGGCGAAGGCAGGUCUCUGGGCAGUAACUGACGCUGAGGAGCGAAAGCGUGGGGAGCGAACAGGAUUAGAAACCCCCGUAGUCC
rnacentral:rRNA from 1 species